ACGGAGGGUGCAAGCGUUAUCCGGAUUCAUUGGGUUUAAAGGGUGCGCAGGCGGACUUUUAAGUCAGUGGUGAAAUCCCGGGGCUCAACCCCGGAACUGCCAUUGAUACUGGAAGUCUUGAAUUUGGUUGAAGUGGGCGGAAUGUAGCAUGUAGCGGUGAAAUGCUUAGAUAUGCUACAGAACACCGAUCGCGAAGGCAGCUCACUAAGCCAUUAUUGACGCUCAGGCACGAAAGCGUGGGGAGCGAACAGG
rnacentral:rRNA from 1 species